CGUGCAGAUCUGAUAAAGAAGAGUGACAGCAUUUAUAAAAAUUAGAUUCAAUAUCCCCGGAAGAGUGAGAGCUCAAUACACAGGUUAGAAGUUCAGCCCAUGUCUGAUUGAACCGAUGACAUCCACACAGCACAGUGUGGAGUACAUGGAGGAGAUACCAGGAGACAGGCCCGUAUACCAGGUCGUAUAAGGACAGCAACCAGCAGCAGGACCGCUAUCUGCUCCUUUGUGCAGGAGUAACAGGAGGAGUACUGCUAGAGUCCUUCUGAUGCAGGACAAUGCUCUGGCACAUGCUGCUGGAGGGUGUCAGCAGAUCCUGCAUGAUGAAGGCAUUGAUGCUUUUGACUGGCCUGCCCAUUCAUCAGACCUGAAUCCAGUCUAGCACCACUGGGACAUCAUGUCUCGUUCCAUCCACUGCUGCCGUGUCGCACCACAGACUGUCCGGGGAUUGACUGGUGCCCUGAUCCAGGUGUAGGAGGAGAUCCUGAACAUCUGGUCUCAUCAGAAGCAUACCCAGACAUUGUAGAGUGCAUAAAGGUACGUUGAGGCAAAACACACUACUGAUCCUUACUUUGAGGUUUGAUCUGAUCUUUCCACUUUUAUUGUAAGUAGGA